rnacentral:lncRNA from 1 species
UUUGGAUUUUGAAGUUUUACAGAUUAGCAUGACAUGAUAACACUUUGGAUGUAGUUCAACAUGUCUUUUUUCCAUCUAUGGUUGAACCAAAGGCAACCUCCUUCUCGAAAAAAGGUUGAACCACCACUUGACAAGGUGUGGUUGAGUUGUAGGCAUAGUUUAAAAAUGGAACGAACUGUCCGUUUGAAUGGAAAAGACUAAAACCAGCGGGCCCAUCUGUUCAUUAUGUUUAACAGACCGUCCCACCAUUUGAUGGGUGAAACCAGCUGAACCUGGCAGUUUUCUGCAAAAUUGGUCAAUAAACUGGGCAGGUGAACACAAUAAAGCCCCAAAAUUAUAUUGGGAAAAGAGGGAUUGAAAACCCACAAUUGAGUCAUCCGCCGUACCCAAGCCAAUAACCGCUAUGUUAAGGUCAUUUUGAUGUCUAUUAUGAGGAAACAAUGCUAUUUAACCAAUUUCAGUACAAAAUUAGCAUAUACUAUGUACUAUUAAUUAUAUUUUUUAUGAUAAAAACCGUAAAAUGGACCGGUUAACCAGCAGCCUAAUCGGUGAAAACCUGAAUGGAGAGGACCACCGGUUCAAUAACCAUUUCAGGUUUUUUAAACUGUUGUUGUAGGUGACUUCCAUCUACUAGAUGUUGAAAUCCUAGUUUCAAAUAUUUUUCAUGUCGUAUAAAUUCUAAGUCUUUAAAUAAAGAUAUAAGUCCCAUGGUGGUUAAUUACUAAAAAUGAAAGGGAGUGAUAUUUUGUUGCAUCUAAAAAGAGAAGCAAGUAAUGUAUUGGUUUUGAAGUCAAUCCUUUAUCUUUAAAAGUGAACCUAAAUCGUGCUUACCUUGUCAACAUUAUCAUUUAGAGACAACCUCUGUCCUGUCAGUACCUCCGUGAUUAUUAUACCAAGACAAUAGAUAUCAAGCCGGUGUGUGAUUUCACCGUUCCAACAUUCUGGUGCAAAAUAACCCCUGCAUAAUAGACGCGCCCACGCUGAGUAACGGAAUAAAAAUGUGGAACUGUCAGGAGGCUUAGCAAACUUACGGUGUGCCGCAUAUGUUUACAGUAAAAGUUUGGCUCUGCAUUGGACGAAAGCACCUUGAUAGACCAAAAUCAGUAAUUUUUGGUACCAAAUUAUCAUCCAACAAUAUAUUCUCUGGCUUUAGAUCUGAGUGGACAAUAUUAUUUUGAUGAAGAUAAUGUAACCCCUGACAAAUUCCUAUUAUAAUUUGAUACCGGUCUGUCCAGUGAAGUCCGCAAGAUGUACCUACGAAGGAGGAGGAGAGGACAAAGCAAUCCGAAUAUUAUUUGACAUACUUAAAGUCUAUGGAUAGUACGUACGUGGUCAUUAUGUAAAUGAAGAUAGCAUAUACAUAGUGAUAUGUGGGAUACUAACCAAUAUGAAAUUUAACGAUGAACAUAAAGGAUAAAAGAAACUUUGCAACAUAUGAUCCUACCCGUGAUAUACUUACGAAGACUCCCGUUAGGAACAAACUCGAAACAAAGCAACCUUUGUCGUACAUCGGCCAAGACCAAUUUUCCUUCAUACUUUAACAUACUGCCUUGUGUGUCAGCACAAUAUCCCAGAAACCGUACGACAUUUUUGUGCUUCACCAUCAUGAGGCAUUCAACUUCUCGGACGUACUCCUUCUCAUACUCAUAUGUAUUUAACAUCCUUUUCACAGCCACGGGCCUAUUCUCAAGAAUUCCCUACAUUGAGAAGAUGCCUUGUCAGCAACAACUUCAGUUUCCAGAUAAAGUUUGAUUAAAUCCCAAAGCAGCUCAGAGUUACUGUACCUUAUAAACCACCGCAAAUCCACCGGAGCCAAUUUUCUGGUCAGGAGAGAAAUCAUUUGUAAUUUCUUUGAGAAGUGACAGUGGCAGCGGCUUGGGCUCUGCCAUCUCAUCACAUAGCAUGGACUCCAGGUCCCUUGGUGUGAUAAUAGAUCGGCAUUCCAUUUGCAAUUAUAUGUCACGGUACCCCUAAAACAAGAGCAAGCGCAUUAUUUCCCGCCCUUCUUCAUUUGCCGUAGGGAAAGUUGUUUGCUUGACAGCAUAUACGAGUUGUCAAAUCAUAGGCCUACUACUACUUCUGGUUGCAGUCUUGAUUAGCAAAAGAAACACACAAACCAUCUCCCUAAGGUGACCGAGCGUAGGCAACGAGGACGAAUAAGAUCUGAAGAAGUUUCUGGGUCAAGGAAUUUUUUGUGAUUACCUGGCGAGGUGGAGGCCCAGGCUUGAAAUGAUUUCUUCCAGACUAGGACAACGGAUGAUUUCUCAAGCUGUCAAGGAAGACUUCCAGAGAUCAUUUCCAUGUGAGAGAGCAUGGGAGAGUUAUAUUAAGAAACGACUACCUAGUGAACACUUCACUAAUAAGUGCGAUUUUUUUAAGAGCAGGCUCACCGCUACUGCUGGUGCUACUACCAAGGUACCCAUAAGUUUGCUACGGAAGACUUCGCUUUUCCUCGUUGGCUCUGUGCUGCAGCUUCCUAUGAUCGAUGUUGCUGCUGCUCUUCUUCUUCUCUCCUACCUCUACCCGGAGAUGCAAUGGUAGCGAGUGCUAGCUAUUGUAGUGGUUGGUGUAUAGAUCUCCAGGGCUUAUGGCGAUGGUGGUGAGGAGUCACCUCAUUAUAUUUGCUCUCAACAUGUACACCAUUUGCUACAUCCUGUGAACCUCGUCACUUCAACUCACCUUAAUGGAAAGAAUAAAAAUGAUGCGUCCUAAUUAAUUUCCUAGCACAAGUUGGAGGAUCGAACGUAACAUUCAUUCAGAACUCAGUUAAUUGAUUGAAGCUGACUUCUUACUCAGAGCUUACUGGACUGGCUCUAACUUUGGGACAAGGACUAACUGCCUUCUAGUUUAUAAUUGUGUGUCUAGGUCAGUAAUUUGCCAAACGAAAUUUUAGUCAUGCAUCAUAAAAAAGCAUACCACUGAAUUUUUAUAAAAAGAAGUUUAUUUAGAUCACAGUACACGCAAACCCUACCCCUAUGAGCAGCUCCGAUAGACUGCGCCGGCAUAUCAUCUUGAGAUUGACGAAGUGACCAGAGGCGCCUCGUAGUUGAUGGGAACGUCUAUUUCCACUUAAAUAAAUCCAGGAAUAAUGCGAGCACCAGGAUUUGAACCCUGGUGGGCUGGGGAUACCACUGUCCUCCUAACCAUCCGACUAUAAGUUGGUUCGCUAAAAGAAGUUUUUUAUUGCAUAUUUUUCUGAGACAUUUCUUUUUUCUUUUCACGACGGGAGGUCAAGACCCCCCGACCUCUACAUCACCGUGAUGCACACAAUUGUUUUCACUAGAGUUGUUUUCUCGAAACGGAGGUUUGGACCCUCAGCUUGUGCAUAAUUUUGAACACAACUAUUUUCACUAUAGUUAUUUUCUUGAAAGGAAGGUCGUCACCAUUGGCCUCUGCAUCAUUGUGAUACACACAAAUAUUUUUACUAUAGUUGUUUUUUCGAAAGCAAGGUCAAGACCAUUGACUCUGCAUCGUUGUGGUACACACAACCAUUUUCACUACACAGUUGAUGCAAGACAAGGAGGCCAAUGUCAUAUCAUUCUUUUUUUGUUAUUUUUUAAAGGGUCCAGUAUGACAAUGCUAUGUAUGAGCUCAGCAUUCGGUUUUUUAGAAGGAAAGGAUUAGAAACACAACAUCAUAUAGUCUACACGUCUUUCCUUCUAGGUUCAUAGUGCACAUUUGUCCUAGGUUCAGAAAAAGAAAGAAGCAUUCAAUCCAAAUGAAAGCAUAGUAUAUUGCAUCCAUGAAAAUAUUUGCAAAAUAUAACAAAACUCAUUGUUUAAGGCGGCAGCAGGUAUAAUAAUAUUGUGUAGGUUGACUAUAAGAGUUUUUUUUUUGAGAAAGAUGUGCUAUAAAAAAUGCCACAUCAGAUUUAUGAUAAGUUCAGGAGAUAGAUGACUGAUGAUAAGUGUUUUCCCGAUAUAAAACAAAAGUAGGCUACAGAUUUAUAGUCAGCUGCAAUAUGGGCAACAAGCUUUAUAUAUUACUCCUUAUUCUUUCAUCCUCACUAUGGGGAGUUCGACAUAGUAUAAAAAGAUUGUGUAAGUGGAGUAAUAAAGUUAGCCUCUCUAAAGUUAGCCAGGUAUUAGUGACAUACUAGAUACGGAUGUAUCUAAUACUAAAAUGUAACUAGAUACGUCCGUAUCUAGAUAAAUUUAAGACAAGAAUUUUGAGACAGAAGGAGUAGUAUAUUGUGCAUAACUAAACUACUAUUCAGUUAAUUGAGUGCAGAUGAUAUGACAAUGACAUUUAACCACUAGCUAACUCCAUUAUUGGUUAUGCCCGCUGUGUUAACCAUCCUCACUAUGGGGAGUUGGAAUGAAACCACCCGUGGGGCCCAAAGAUUAAUGGAGUCGAGUACAUGACGUUCAGGGCGUCGCUGGGGAGGCUGGCCGGUGAGAUAUUAGGCUGGUCAUAGUGGGGAGUAACUUAGACUAGUGUCAUGCAUAUGACACUAGUCUAAGUUACUACCUUCAUAAUGCAAAGUAACAUAAUAGUAGUAUCAUAGAUGGCUUCAUUUACUAGCUCAUAGACUCAUCUUGUCAUGAAAAGCGCUAUGUUACAGUAACAUAUUAUGUUACUACCUCUCAUUAAUUACUUGCCACAUAAGCAGAAUUCUCUCGAAGAGCGCUAUGUUACUAGCUAAGUUACUCCCACUAUGACCAGCCUUAGAGUCAACAGCAAUUAAACAUGGGUGGGGCUCAAAGAUUAAUGGUGUACUAUGAAAAACUGAGCGUGUGAACUACGCAAAGUAUUCAAAAUGUUUUCGCACAGCUGUACGCGCAGACCACCUAAAAUUAACCAUCGCUUGUGACAUGUUUAUCGAGUAGCCAUUGAAUGACCCCCUUGUCAUCGUGGUGGUAUUAUCAUGGCUGGUCGUGAUUGAUCUGACAUCAAGCCAUUUUGGUCAUUUUCCUGGCCUAAUUUCUAAGAUGUGUUAAAAUACACUCACAUCUGUGACCCAUGGUUAUGGGUACAGGAAAAUUAUCAGAGGUACCGAAAUUAAUAAUUAACUAUAUAGGGAAUUGAAAACCCAAAACUACUAUACUUUGUGACUGCGAAUAAUCAACAUUAAUCAUGGCUAAAGAUUUUUUUUUUCUUUUCUUCUGGUUGCAUCCCUGAGCAACCUGCAUGAGAUUGACCUGAAGAUGCUUCAAAGUAAAUUACAUCAGUGUCUGGCACAUGGUUUGCCUUCGCCAGUUGUUUGUGGCUGGAUGCAUCUCACUAUUUCCAUACAGUAUCUUGUAUUAAUGAUACAUCUGUUGCCACAGCGCCCAAGAUAAUACAUAUAUCCACAUCAAAUUCGUGGCCAACAAAAUGAGAAUAAAAAAAUAAAAAGUUUCACCAUAUAAACAGAAGGAUCCGGUUGGACAUAAAAACUUGGUACAUAUAGAAAACUAUUAUAUGGAUGGGCAACUAGAUUGACUACUGAUGAUAUAUUGAGAUAGCGCCAAAACAGACUCUAUUAUUGGCUGUGGUCGCUGUGUUAGCCCUGCUCAUCGUGGUGGGUUCAUGACUUGGAAUAGGGAAGUUUGGACAUGAAGGGGCCUGUGGGGUUCUAUAGCUAAUGGAGUUCAUUGCAUGGCUGUACGAACACGUCCGAGGAGGCUGUCAACCUGUCUGGCAAGAUAAUAGAGUGCCCAUCAAUCAAACAUGGGUGGGGUUCAAAUCAAAAAUUAAUGGAUGGACUACCUGUGCGGUUGGCCAGGUUGAUGUGAGUAAUGUGAACUGACAGGGCGGCCGGAGGACCAAACCAUGAACCAUGAACGCACAAGUCUUUCAUUAACUUUACACAACUGCAUGUGCAGACCACCAAACAGGGCGCCUCAGCUGUAUGUCAUAUAUCUUAAACUAGCUAGCUUACCUCGCCAGUGUGCACAUUCGUGCUUUUUUUUCUCUUUGAACAGUGAAGGGCACCGAAGGACGCAGAACUUCAUUAUUCAAAGCGGUGCGCAACACGUCUUACAAACAGGACUCCAAAGAAACUGAAAAUUAUAGGCAAGUCCCUGAUAGUUAUGAAAAGGACCCUGAAACUGAAAAGAAAAGGUGAUCGGGUCCAAACUGCUCUCCAGUGGAUCCAAUCAUCGCCAGUUUGGACAUGAAGGGGGCUGUGGGGUUCAAUAACUAAUCGAGUUCAUGCAUGGCUGUAGGAACACGUCCGAGGAGGCUGUCAACCUGUCUGGCAAGAUAAUAGAGUGCCCAUCAAUCAAACAUGGGUGGGGUUCAAAUCAAAAAUUAAUGGAUGGACUACCUGUGCGGUUGGCCAGGUUGAUGUGAGUAAUGUGAACUGACAUGGCGGCCGGAGGACCAAACCAUGAACCAUGAACGCACAAGUCUUUCAUUAACUUUACAGAAUUGCAUGUGCGGACCACCAAGCAUUUCGCCUCAGCUGUAUGUCAUAAAUCCAACUACUCCCACAUGUAGUAUCGAGUAGCCUCCUUGUGACCCCAUUGUCGCCAUUUAUUCUACUAUUAUAGCAGGUCGUGAUUGAUCUCAACUCUAGACCAACUCGUGAACGCUCGAGUCUUUCGUUAACUUUACACAACUGCAUGAGUAAUGACCCAUUGAUUCUGAUUAAGCUGAUAUGCUAUUGGAUCAUGGGCUGGUCGAUUUUGCACAUAAAGGAGGAGCUAAGAGAGACGCUGAUGCUAUAGGGACAAAACUGCUAAAACAUGUAGCAAGUGAGAUCUACGGAGNNNNNNNNNNNNNNNNNNNNNNNNNNNNNNNNNNNNNNNNNNNNNNNNNNNNNNNNNNNNNNNNNNNNNNNNNNNNNNNNNNNNNNNNNNNNNNNNNNNNNNNNNNNNNNNNNNNNNNNNNNNNNNNNNNNNNNNNNNNNNNNNNNNNNNNNNNNNNNNNNNNNNNNNNNNNNNNNNNNNNNNNNNNNNNNNNNNNNNNNNNNNNNNNNNNNNNNNNNNNNNNNNNNNNNNNNNNNNNNNNNNNNNNNNNNNNNNNNNNNNNNNNNNNNNNNNNNNNNNNNNNNNNNNNNNNNNNNNNNNNNNNNNNNNNNNNNNNNNNNNNNNGACAAGAUAAUAGUAACUGAAUGUUAAACAUAUAUGUGGGGCUCCCCCCCCCCCGGUACAUAAUGUGUAGGUGAACUAACAGGUGGUGUGAACUUUUUUUUCGAGAAAGGGUGGAUUUUAUAGGCUCAAAUGGAGCAUCAAGAUGAUACAUCACACUCAACACACACACGGCCUCUGCAUAACUAAGAUGCACACAGCCAACCCAACGCGCACACACACAGAAACACACUGUCAACUAGCGAUGUCAUAAAACCAAAAGCUAUGUGCAGGUGUGGAAAAGGGAAAAAAGAAACAAGAAAUAAGCCCCAAAGCGAUUAGAUGAACGAUCGAAAAAUACAACUAAGACCAUAUCCGCACAAACCAUUGACAAGGAUCUUCAACAACAACGUCUUCACGAAGGAAGCGACACUCAAGCGACGCCGUCACCGGAUCCAACCACAAAGGUCAGUUUCAUAGUUUUUACCCCGAAGAAUCAUUCCGAACAUAUCCGAGCAAUGCCUCCAACAAGGUAACGACAUAAAAAAAACAUCGCCAUUGCCAGGAAUAACCACUCGGGUCUCUCCUAGGCUUUCGCCCCGGAGCUCGAGACCAGGCGCACAUAGCACCACCAUCCAAAUCUCACAUGUGUUGUCUCCACCGCUUUUCCACUAUCCGAGCAGCUACAAUUGGAUCGCCACUACUCCACAAACAACCUUCUGCAUCAAGUCAUUGUCCAUAAUUUGGAACCCACCACUGAAGUCAACCACCGGAUCAGGAGAUAAAACCUUCCGAAGUCUUUUUGGUGAUGUCGUGGAUCCGUAUGAAGUCGAUGCAGAACAAUCUACAUAUGCCACCAUCCGGCCAAUCGGAUCUAAAUCACCUCAUUCAUCCAGCACAUCACCGCAGCCCCAACAAUCCACGGACUACGUGGCCGGAGCAAUGCCAAGACCACCGUUGCCUCAACGACCACCACGUCGGAGCCACCACCACAAAUCGAGGGAGGUGGGCGCUACCAUAGACGAGGGCCGCCAUGCAUGAGGCAUAUUUGUGACUGGCCGUAGCUAGGUCGGAUCUUGGAAGACGUCAGGUGCAGCUUAUGGGGAAACAGAUCACCGCCACCAUGGCCACUGCCAGUCCGCGACUGCAUCUGACACCAGCCACCGCAGACCACGACUCCAUCUUAGGGAGGAGGUCAGGGGCGCGUGCAGCAGGCUAGGGGAUCAAUUUGCCCCGUCGCCACCAUCCGCCAUCGCAGGACCUUGCCGCCACCGCAGGUCUGCCCCAGCGCCGCCCACAUCGCCACCUUGGUAGCACCACCACCAGCACUAGGGCCCCCGCCCUUGCUCCCAAGAUCCGCUGCCUACAUGCUUCAUUUGGGGCCGCCGUGCCUUGCCGGCUGGAGCGCACCCCGCGCGAGGGAUCUCAGCGCGAGAAGACAUCCCCGCCACCUCCGUCGGCCAACCGGGCUUUGCCUGCUGGUGUCCUCCGGCGGCGGCGGGGGAGCUGAUGGAGAGGACGGGGUCGGCGGCGGCGGCGGCUUGGGUUUCCGCCCUCCCCCUCCCCCCUCCCCGUGAGCGAUGCGAGCGGUUCAACACCUAUAAGGUGGUGUGAACUACACGCAACUCUUCAUUAAUUUCACACAACAGUAUGUGCAGACACCUAACAUUUCGUCACAGCUGCAUGUCAUAAGACUACCCAUAGUGGGAAUAACAUAGGUGGUAACAUCAGACAUCUCUAGGCAAAAUAGAUGAUGUGGUGAGUAAUUAAUGAGCAAAGAGAGGCAUGUGGUAACAAAGCUAGUUACUAUAACAUCACACAUACCAAGAUAAGAUGAGUCUAUAACCUAAUAAAUGAAAUGUUGCAUGACAGCUCACAUAUGUUACUCCCCACUAUAGUGGUAGUAACAUAGACUAGUAACAUGCACCCAUUGUGACUAGUCUAACCCCCCCGCUUGUUAAAUGUUUAUCGUCCCAGCUUGUCAUUGUUGUGGUACUAUUAUGGCGACGGUGGUGCUCUCGUGGUGGUGAUGGUGUUCCUUCUGGUGCAGGUUCUGCAGCGCGCCGUAGCUAGUGCCACUCAUCUGGUCCAUGACAAACGCGCCAUGCGACCGCACCAUGUUGCCCGAGUUGGCCAUGGAGGUGGGCCAGUGCGCGGACAUGGGCUCCCUCUUGGUCGGGUCUGGUGCGGUGGUGGUGAAGAUGGAUCUAGGGGAGGCGUUUCUAGCAGGAGGAAGGGUGGAGGAAUGCGUUGGAGAGGAGCUGCUCAUGGCUGAUGCUGCCUGGAUUGAAGGAGGACAUGCACCGAUUCGGCCUCGUGAAGAUAGAAGCACGACGGCGACGGCCAAGAGAAAAUCCAUCUUGGAGGUCAUCGGCGGCCUUCUCUGGGGAGGAGCUCACUGCCGCCAGCAAACUUCACGCGGCCAUCCUUGCCAUCGUCCAUGUCAUAGCGGAGGACCACGGCGAGGCACACAUCGGCCCAUGUUCGGCAACGCCAUUGGCCACCCACGUCCAGAUCAGUAUCGGGGAGGAUCAACUCCUACACCGGGAAGUAGGACUGUGCACCGUGAAGACCACCACCAUCAACUAGGCUCCGGUUCUCGCUCGUCAUCGUCCUCUUCUGCGGAGAGGAGGAGGAACGAGAAAAAAGUGGGGGCAGGUGGGAGGAGAGAAGGGAUUUGUUUGGCUGCCGGCUACCUCUUGAGCAUGCGUUGGUUUUCCCUUGAAGAGGAAAGGGUGAUGCAGCAAAGUAGCGUAAGUAUUUCCCUCAGUUUUGAGAACCAAUGUAUCAAUCCAGUAGGAGGCUACACGCAAAUGCCUCGUACCUACACAAACAAAUAAGAACCUUGCAACCAGCGCGAUAAAGGGGUUGUCAAUCCCUUCACGGCCACUUGCAAAAAUGAGAUAUGAUAGAGACAAUAAACAUUUUUGGUAUUUUUAUGAUAUAGAUUGGAAAGUAAAGAUUGCAAAAUAAAAUAGAUCGGAAACUUAUAUGAUCGAAAAUAGACCUAGGGGCCAUAGGUUUCACUAGUGGCUUCUCUCAAGAUAGCAUAAGUAUUAUGGUGGGUGAACAAAUUACUGUCGAGCAAUUGAUAGAAAAGUGCAUAGUUAUGAGAAUGUCUAGGCAUGAUCAUGUAUAUAGGCAUCACGUCCGCGACAAGUAGAUCGAAACGAUUCUGCAUCUACCAGUAUUACUCCACACAUCGACUGCUAUCCAGCAUGCAUCUAGAGUAUUAAGUUCAUAAGAACAGAGGAACACAUUAGGCAAGAUGACAUGAUGUAGAGGGAUAAACUCAAGCAAUAUGAUAUAAACCCCAUAUUUUUAUCAUCGAUGGCAACAAUACAAUACGUGCCUUGUUGCCCCUGCUGUCACUGGGAAAUGACACCGCAAGAUUGAACCCAAAGCUAAGCACUUAUCUCAUUGCAAGAAAGAUCAAUCUAGUAGGCCAAACCAAACUGAUAAUUCAAAGAGACUUGCAAAGAUAAGAAAUCAUACAUAAAAGAAUUCAGAGGAGAUUCAAAUAUUGUUCAUUGAUAAUCUUGAUCAUAAACCCACAAUUAUUCGGAUCUCUACAAACACACCACAAAAAGAAUCACAUCGAAUAGAUCUCCAAGAAGAUCGAGGAGAACUUUGUAUUGAGAUGAAAAGAGAGAGAAGAAGCCAUCUAGCUAAUAACUAAACCCGAAGGUCUGUGGUAAACUACCCACACUUCAUCGGAGAGGAUAUGGUGUUGAUGUAGAAGCCCUCCAUGAUCGAUUCCCCCUCCGGUGGAGCGCCGGAUAAGGCCCCAAGAUGGGAUCUCAUGGGUGCAGAAGGUUGCGGCGGUGGAAAUAGGGUUUCGUGGUGCUCCUGGAUGUUUUCAGGGUAUAUGAGUAUAUAUAGGCGAAGGAAGUCGGUCAGGCAAGCCACGAGGGGCCCACGAGGGUGGGGUGCAUGCCCACCCCCUUGGGCGUGCCUCCCUGCCUUGUGGCCGCCUCGUUUCUUUCUUAACGCCCACUCCAAGUCUCCUGGAUUGUGUUUAUUCCAAAAAUAACUCUUCCGAAGGUUUCAUUCCGUUUAAACUCCGUUUCAUAUUCCUUUUCUGUGAAACACUGAAAUAGGCAAAAAACGGCAAUUUGGACUGGGCCUCCGGUUAGUAGGUUAGUCCCAAAAAAAUAAUAUAAAAGUUCUUAGUAAAUCCCAUUAAACAUCCAAAACAGGUAAUAUAAUAUCAUGAAACAAUAAAAAAUUAUAGAUACGUUGGAGACGUAUCAAGCAUCCCCAAGCUUAAUUCCUGCUCAUCCUCGAAUAGAUAAAUGAUAAAAACAGAUUUUUUGAUGUGGAAUGCUACCUUGCAUAUUUUCAAUGUAAUUUUCUUUAUUGUGGCAUGAAUGUUCAGAUCCAAAAGAUUCAAGAUAAAAGUUUAAUAUUGACAUAAAAAUAGUAAUACUUCAAGCAUAAUAACAAAGUAAUCAUGUCUUAUCAAAAUAACAUAGCCAAAGAAAGCUUAUCCCUACAAAAUCAUAAAGUUUGGUCAUGCUUCAUUUUCGUCACAUAAAAUACUCCCAUCAUGCACAACCCCGGUUUCAGCCAAGCAAUUGGUUCAUACUUUUUAACGCGGUUCAACUUUUUCAACCCUCACGCAAUACAUGAGCGUAAGCCAUGGAUAUAGCACUAUGGGUGAAGUAGAGUAUGAUGAUAGGGAUUGUGUGAGAAUACAAAAAAGGAUAAAGUUUCACAUUGACGCGGCUAAUCAACGAGCUAUGGAGAUGCCCAUCAAUUGAUGUCAAUGCGAGGAGUAGGGAUUGCCAUGCAACGGAUGCACUAGACCUAUAAAUGUAUGAAAGCUCAACAAAAGAAACUAAGUGAGUGUGCAUCCAACUUGCUUGCUCACGAAGACCUAGGGCAUUUUUAGGAAGCUCAUCAUUGGAAUAUACAAGCCAAGUUCUAUAAUGAAAAACUGCCACUAGUAUAUGAAAGUGAAAACAUAGGAGACUCUCUAUCAUGAAGAUCAUGGUGCUACUUUGAAGCACAAGUUUGGAAAAAGGAUAGUAACAUUGUCCCUUCUCUCUUUUUCUCACAUUUUUUUCUCUUUUUUUCCUUUUUUUAUUUUGAUGGGCUUCUUUGGCCUCUUUUUUUUAUUUGGGCUUCUUUGGCCUUUUUUAUUUGGGAGAUACUGGACGCAGCAAGAGGACUCUUGACAAGUUACGAGGAUGUUGUAGCCACAGGCCAGGGUGCAUGUCUGUAGACGAACGAAACACGUCGUUAUUGUUGUCGUCAUUAGUUUAGACACUAGACUGGAUCCAAACUGACUCUUCAUGCGACAUGGAGCAAUGUAUCACAUCGAUCACAGGUAGGUGUUGAUAGACAGGUCGACCAACCAACCACGGCAAAAUUGUUGGAACUUCUUGCACAAGAUUACUAUUUAGGGGAACUUAAGGAAUAAGUUUUCAUAAUAAUUUUGACAGGGUCACUAGUUUAUCAGCUCGUGCACCCUCACAUGGUGUCUUCUUUGAAGGUGUCGAACCCUUAGUAGGAGAGAAUCUUGAGCGAAAACGAGCCAAAGAUGGACACUCUAUUUUCAACAUCGAGUCAACCUCGUGACUUCGACUCACUUUUUUUUCGAGAAGGAGGAUGACCCUGCCCUCUGCAUCUGGGAGAUGCAUACGGUCAUUUUAUUGAUUAUUCUCGAGAACCUUACAAAGUAUAACAACAAUAUGCCUGAAUCCGCCAUCUUGGCAGUAUCUGCCACUACUCCUAUCCAAAUGAUGAAGGGGUGCAACCUGGGCCACAUACCCAUACCUCUCACCUAAGCCUAACAUCUAAAGCCGGAGGCCCCGACCGAGCCAUCUGCCGGGUACGGGGCUCAAACAGGUCUGACGCACUCACAUGUUUCGCCGCCGCCAUCUUCCACUAGUCCAUCUUCAAAGCAGAUUGAGGUGACAACCUUGGCAGGUCAUCCGCCAUCAAUGCCACCACGACGCCAAACGACGACCUCCACCUACACGAGCCUUGGCAGGUCCUCCGCCAUUGACGCCACCACGACGCCAGCCGACAACCUUCACCUACGCGAGUCCAUCUCCAAGCAACGGACGUGAAUCCAUGAUAGGAAAGGGUUGCACCACCGCCGUCUCCCACCACCCACAAGCGCCACCCAACCCCAAGGUUCCCAAAGCGGCGCCUUCAAGAAGGGAACGACGUCGUGAGCACCGCCGUCGCCCAACAGAGUUAGGGCUUUCGCCCGGGAGACCUAGGGGGAGGUUUAGUGAGGAGAUCAGUCCAUACCGACGCCUCCAGGAAGGGAAACAACGCCCUCAGGCGUCGCAGUUGGCGCAGCCGGUGAUGGCCGGCCCGGGAUUUCGCCCGAACUAGAUCUCCACCACCAGCAGCACCACAUGUACAGAACCGGCGACCGAGAGGAAGCACGGCCCGACCAGACUGGCCCGCACGCUGAACAUGGGAGGAAGGGAGGCGCCAGAUCGCGCACACCGACCGCCGCAGAAGCCGCCGCCGGCCGCCAACGACCAUCAGAUCCCGUCGCCCGCGUGGUCAGGACACCAGAUCCACCACCCGCACGGCUGUUAGCCGGCCGUGCCUUGCCAAUGGAGCCGCCGCUCCAGAUCCGGGGUUCCCCGCACAGAAGCAGGGCAACCGAGGCCUCGCCGCCACCAUCUUUGGCGUCCCGGGCUUGCCCGGCGGCUGCCUCAGGAGGCGGCGAGGGAGGGGGUUCGGAGGAGGGGCAGCUAGGGUUCGGAGGAGGAGGCAGCUAGGGUUGGGAGGAGGAGGCGGCUAGCUCCUGGAAUUUUCACAUGUAUAGAUUCACGCCUGACUUCGACUCACUUGAAAGGCAAGAAGAUGGAAAAGGACUAUGCAUCUUAAUUUCCAAGAAACAACUAUAUUAACUUAGCCAGUAGGCAAGAUGCAGUAUAACUUAGCUUUCUUUCAGAAAUUUUGACAUCCAAUUCAUUGAGUGAAACUGAAACCUUACCUCCACACCUCACGGAACCACCUAGCUAGUAGUAGGACAUUUCUGGCCGCUAGAAAAAUAGGCCUUGUCACAAGUUCAUCAGCAGAUGUUCGAGUAGUACAGUACGUUGCUCUUUGUGAGGGCACGCUAACAUCAAUGCUGUUUCCAUACAGCCGUCAUUGGCCGUUGUCGUGAUCCUUCUGCUCAGUCGUAUCUAAAACACAUCUAAACUUGGCCUAAUUCCAGUAGGAAAUUCAGGUGGGGAAAUCGAGGAGAAAGUACUAUUUCUAACCAUUUUGUGAGGAUUAUCGAUGGAUUUCUUGACAUUGCCGAGAAAUGACAAACAAAUAGAAAACGGUCGAUGAAGAUACAUUUCCACCAAGAUUAGGCCAGUUCCCCACCCAGGCUUCAGUUCUGAAUCUCCAUCGGCGGCGGGCAGAAGCUUCAGUUUCAGCUGGCAGUGCAAAUGAUCUUUCCAUCAUGCUGAAUUCAAAAUGGGAAGUACGUACGACCACCAAUGGAAAGUUGUAGCGAACAAAGAGCCAGCAAACAAAAAUAAAAGCUUGGCUUUUGCUGACAAAUAAGCAAGAGAGGCCUGAAUUAUCCAACUCCUUGGCAUGCAUUACACAGUGCACUGAUUAAAUAGCAUUCACCAAUCAAAUUAAACGGUACUGCCCACAUUAUUACAGAUCAGAAAUAGUACUGAAUAGUAUACAGAAUUCUCUCACACUCACUCACAAAUAGUCAUAUGAAACACUAGUCGGCCAUACACGUCUGGUGCACAUUGAAAAUCACAGUGCACAAUAAAACAAGCACAUGGAAAGUAAGAACAAAUCCUGAUGGCUCCACAUUCCUAGCCAACCUUCUCUUCUUUCUUCUCUUUUUUUGCGGGAAAAUCUAACUAGAAUUUUCUUCUGAGGCUAGCAAAUGGAUGAAAAAACAUAACAAAAGUUAGUAGCAGAUCAUCAUGACACAGCCCAUUUUUCAUGAUACAAAAAAAAGAAUGUAGAAAACAGGAUUACAGUCUUACAUGCUGGGUCUUCAAAUCUUUGGUCGGGGAUGUGCUUGAUCUUCUGCCAAUUUGGAUGUCUGACUGUUUGACACGACUUCGUGAACUCACCACUGCAGUAUGCAACACAAAACUUCUCAAGAGAACGGGGCAGUGUUGGAAGCGACCGGAUAUUCAAGCACCCUUCGAUUUGUAGUUCCUUGAGCGAUGUAAGGUGCUCCAUAUUGCCUGGUAAGGCAUCCCAGUUGCACCGACCAAGCCAGAGCACACGAAGAUGAAUGAAAGUCACAAGUUCAGGACCAGGUCCCGGUUGGCUCCAUCCACCCAAGACAAGUUUUUUCAGGUUCUUUGGGCCACCUUUCUGCUUAUCCACCAUCCAAUCUGGGUACCUCAAGCUUUCAUAUUCUGCAAUAAUCAGUUCUUCGAUACCAACAGGAGGGCACAGGCCCUCAAGCACCUCUGCUUCAACUUCUGAGCUGCACCUUGUACCAUCAUCACCCCAUUCCAACUUCAGUUCCUUCAACCGAUCCUUGGCACCAAGAUUGGCUUCAACAGCUUCCUCCUUGCUUUUAACAUUUUCAAGGCCAUUGAUUGUCAGGCUGCCGCGAAGCUUGUUUAGGUCCCUAAGCUGCUUUAUCUCAUAACCCUGCUCAUUCCUUACUGUGAACCUGCUGCUUGGUAACGCUUGGAGUGAGAUAAGCCUGCCUAUGCUCGGACAUUCCAAGUUCUCACAAAUUAUGUACCGCAGGUUGAUAAGGUUAUCAAGUGUAAAUUCCCAAAUUUGGCCAUGGCCAUGACGACCAAAGUCCAGCAGCUGGAUAUGGUGAAGUUUCUUAGUUAGUGUGCUUGGUAAAAUUACGGUGCAUUCGAAUGUCCUGAAAGAAAGAUAGCAUAGGUCCUUUAACUGGCCAAUGGAUUCUGGGAUCGAGAACUUCUUGGGUUUGGUGAUUUCAAGAUGUUCCCGGCUAAAAGCAACCGCCAGUACCUGCAAUUUUUGCAGCCGCUUGCAUAUAUUGUCAAUGACGUUUUCCUCAACUGUAGUACCCUUUUCAACAACAUAAAUUAUGAGUGUUUGUAAAUUUUCCAAUCCAAGGAUCUUUUCAGUAAUCAAUUCUCCAUCAUAAUUCUCUACAAGAAGAUGGCAGACGUCUUGGGGAACAUCUCCUUUCCAUCCUUCUCCUCUCUGACUCCUUGCAUUCUCGAUUCUGAAGCAUUCCGUUCCACUAAUCUUGUCUAAUAAAUCAUGCAACAAGUCAGGAAUUGUAAACCAAUCAGGCCAUUCUCCUCCUUGCUGAAGAAAUGAGCAUGACACUAACUCCUGAAAAUAACUCUCAGCUAUAUCUUCCAUGUCCUCCGUUGCACAACUGGUCUUUAUAAACCCUUGUGCUACCCACAAGCGAACUAACACAUCCCUUCUUAACUUGGAUCUCUUGGGGAAAAUACUGCAAUAUUUGAAGCUUCGCUGGAGAUCUGGAUUAAGUUGUUGAUACCUCAACCAAAGAGCACCCAUGGUCUCAUUCAAUAUUUCCGGAUUAAACUGCUGAUAAUAACAUGGAAUUAGCACUUUGGAUGAAUAAUAUAGUGAUAUUUGUCUAUGGAACAUAAAUUUAUAAUUUAAUUUAGAAUGCUUGCAUGGCAUUAGUAUGUAAAAUAUGGGUGCAACCAAAUGUUCCCAAGAGUCCAAAAACAAAUACGUUUUACAUAGAUACAAAUUUGUGCUCAUUUCGUGGGUGCAAACUUUCACGACAAUAUGAACUAUUUUGAACUGAAAAGAAAAAAAAAUAUGUUUAAAAAAAAGAACUUUCGUGAAACAUUUCUAUCUACAGAAUAUUUAUGUUGUAAAUAGGGAAAACUUUGUUUUUGCCACUCUAGGUUUUGACCACUUUGCUUAUGCCACUCUAGAAUUUGACAUUUCACUUUUGCCACUCUUAGUUUUUGAUAAUACAUCACAAUUGCCAUUCUGUGGCAAAAUCAAUAAUUUAAGAGUGGCAAUUGUGAUACAUUGUCAAAAUAUCUUAAUAUACCCAUGAUCAAUAGACGGCCCAAAUAAAAAAAACUCAUAGGAGGUUGAUAAUCUAUCACCGACUCCGGCCAUAUCUAUGCACCGAAGGUAUGUGGUUUUGGGCCAUUGGAUGGGAAAGUGUCCCGCAAGAUUCAUGAAUAAGUUGGGAUAUAUCAUAUUUGUAGCAAUAGCCUUGUAUUGUACGAAAAUCUACCUGCACUUUAGCCCUUCGGGUUCCUGGUUUCUACUAUUGUUGCAAAAUAAUCGUUUAAUUCUCACCCAUAGUCCAUUUAAGAAAAUUAACCCGAGAUUUUAUCUCAUCUAAAAUUUAAUAAAACUUAAAUGAGUUUCACCAUCAAGUUUCAUAUCCAAAACAUGAUGAAACUGAUCACGAAAAAAAAACAAGUUAAAUUUGAUGAAUCUUAGUUUUAUAUAUCAACCGUAGUUUAGAAAAAUUGCCACAAACUGUGGUGCAAGUUGAUUUUAAUUAAAUACAAGCUUUUUAAAAAAAUAUGUCAGUUGUCAAUUGAUCAUGUCCAUCACUUCAUCAUCCAAUGGUUGCUAAUGUAUGUGUGCAUCUGAUAAACAAAUUCACUUGGUGAACUAGAUAUUGUCACAAAGAGGAAAGUAGGACAUCUUAAAAAUGCUCAAAACAUAAAUACAUUAACAUUAUAUUGUUUCAAAUGUCUCACCAUGACAAACAUAUAGGUUCAACUUAGUCGUGUAUCCAACAUUGUUAAUUUUUAUUAUUAGCUAUUGAGGUUUCUUAGCUCGUUCUUUAGGAUGACGUCUAAUUCUUAAUAGAUGCAGUAAUGAUGUAUUCAAUAAGUUUGUAAAUAGAUAUUUUCACAUAAAUACGUUGGUAGAAAACAAUUAUUUAUUUUACUAUUAAUAAAACCAUGGUGAAUCUAACAACAUUAUUUUAUUCUAGUGCUUCUAUUUGUUUGGCCUACUUUUGUUUUCAAAGUCUUAGAGGUCAUGAGGGUAUUAGAGCUUGUCUCUCCUAGCGCAUUAGGUGUAUCAUGGUACCGCUCAUUUGUAGCAUUUUUGGCCUGUUCAAAUAACCAAUUAAGUAUAUUUCACUUCAACUACUGGAUUGUAGCAAUAAAAGCGCAAAUGGAGAUGCUUCUAUGUACACAAACUCUCAAGAUUAUGUUUUGUGGGAGGUAUGUCCUCCACGCGAGUGAUUUACCUGCUGUGAAGUAAUCAUGCUAUUUUCAAUAUAUCCAUUUAUAGUUUCUCUUCCAUCAAGGACACUGAUAAUAUGUUGUGUAUCUGGUCUCCUUGCCGGGUUGAACUCCAUGCACUUCAUUGCAAUCUCAGCACAUACUCGUACCUGUUCCAGUUGUACAUCCCGUUGUGGUUUCUCCAAUAUGGCACUCCAACUUUCAACUACCUAUGAAUUAUAUUAGUGUAUUAUUAAAACAAGAGACAUCUUAUGCAACACAAAAUUAAUGUAUGUAGUAGUACAUAUAUACGAGGCCCAUAAAUUAUGUUACCAGCUGAUACAAAACCCCAUCAGAUAACACUUCGAACUACCAAACAAAAAUUCCCCAAGAACUUAAUUAAGGUGCGCUCUGGUUUCUUCUCACAUGGUAUCAACUGAAUUAAUAAAAAAUAUGCAUCCCAUGAAAUCUGCCAUGUCAUGUGAGGGUAAUGGAAUUGCAAGGACAUAAUUUUCAUCAACUAGACUUAAUGUUUGUCUAACCAACUCUUCAUCCCAUUGUCCUGUAGAUCGAUCAGUAAUGUCACAAACUUAUGAAAAAGUUGUCCACCCCUUGGAGUAAUCAACUUUCUGCUAUUGCAAUUAGGUAUCCAUGCAUCAUCCCAAAUGCUAUUUUUUACCAUCGCCAACUCUCCAAAUAUAUCCUCGAGCCUAACAAAGAGUGGUACUUUCUCUGUCGUUUCGGCUUAUACCAUGCCAAAUGGGAUCAUCGAUUGGUAGGAGAGGCGAUGGCACGGGAGAGAAGCAAAGUCAAUCAAUAAUAUAUGGCGUACAAUUUGGCAAAAUGAUGUGCCUAGCUAAGGUAAAAAAUGCAUAUGACAUGCUCUGCAUGGAAAUCUUCUAGGUCAUGUUACUCUAGCAAACCAGCAUAUUAAGGUUCUUCCACAAUGAUGGCAUGUAAUCAAGGAGCAUCAUAGGCUUGCCCAUGAGUAGAAGACAUACAAGAUAACGUAGAUAGCUAUGGUUGUACAUGUGGUAACAUAAAAGUAUGAUGUAGCUAUUAUACCCCAAGGCUCAAGUGAUUAAAGGUCGAUGGUCGAGGCCCCCUCAUGGCAUGAUUAAUCUUAAUGUCGAUGAUGCUUUCGAUAAGGACAUGCUACACUGAGCAGCAGGUGUAGUUUUGAGAGAUUCCAGGAGCUUUCAUUGUGGUGGAAACCUAAAGAUUGACAUGUGUAGUAAUGCACUAACAACAGAGGCAAUGACGUUGCGCUUUGGAUUACAACUUAAACAGAAAAUGGGUUGCAACAAAAUGGUCACAAUCUCCUACAAUUCUAAGGUAAUUGAGACCAUGAUCAAUGGCGGAAGAACCUCAGGUCCUGUAGGGCAUACUUUUAUACGAUAGUUUCCAUAUCUUAUACGAAUUUCCACGAACACUGGGUGAACAUUGUAAUAGAGAACCCAAUUAUGUGUCACAUGUAUAAGCUAAGAUGGCGAUAUCGUCAGUGUGAAGAUCCCUUCUUUGACCAAUGAUGUAGCAGUUAUCACUAUCUAAUGAAUACAGAUACAAGGUAAAAAAAUAUGCAUCAAAAUUCAGGUUAUAGAUAACUUGGGCAUCGGUGAUGAAAUGGUACAACCACUCUCCCGCAGAAAUAAGCUAAGCAUUAUUGUUCUUACAUGUGCGGAUAUGCAAAUUGACACUUUCUCCUUCACAAAACGAAUUUGUAUAGAAGGUAUUUAUUCUAAAAAAUAUUACUCAUCAAACUAUAUAUUUUUGUUGGAUUUUAUUCAUGUUUUAAAUAUAUUUUCAUCACUAAGUAUCAAUAGUCCCUCCGUAAGGAGCAUUCUCAUUUUUAUUCCAUUUGUAAAUCAUGGUGUUAGACCAAUGCAUAAAAGUUGAACAUAAAUGUUUGAAAGUGCAUAUUCGCACCUAAGUAUGUUUUAUUUUGAUGACGACAAACUAAAGGGACUAAUAAGAUGGCUAUGUGUAUGAGCAGGUUUUACUCCCAUGAGCGAGUGGUGUCGAGGAUCGAUGACCCCUUAAAACUAAAGGGCUCAAGGAGGAAUUUCCGGCAAGCAUGUCCACCACUUACCGGGGCUCGACCGCUUGCAUGGAUAGGAGAUGGGUAGAAGAAUGGAACUCGCUCACUACAAUGCCAUGAACUCUGUCCAUUGCGACAUCAUGUCUUAAUAGGAAUGAUAGAAUACCACAUCAAUGAAGUGUAACAUCUAUUCACGAGGUUGGUAUCCAAAGAACCUCUAUGUUAGGUGUGCUGGUCCUCCGACCAAACUUGUUGUCGGGUGCGCCACGAGUGAGGUCAAAGUGUGCAGCAAAGAAAAGUGUUGGUCUAUGGUGCCAGUCUAUGUCCCAGGUGGUAUCCUGGUAUAAUGGACGUGAACUGGUUGUUAUGUUGGGUGUUAUACCCACCCUCAUCUUCCUAGAGCUGGGUUUCCAUGUUGGACUAGGGGAACGGUGGAAAUGCCAAGAUCGUUUCUGACUCACACAAACCAUAUUCCCCGGUGGGCUUUGUGGUUAAAAGAUCAAAUUUAGGAAGAAGAGAAGGAGCGGAAAGAAAAUAUGCUCAAGAUAAUCCUUGCCAGUCGGCGUUGAGGUGUCUGAUUACAAAUCACCACCCACAAUAUAAACUUUGGAGCCGCAGAGGACGAAGCCCAGCUAGAGCAAGAUAGUUGAGAGGCCACAAAGGUACCCAUACUUCGUAGUAUGUUCGUACGUGACCUGGUGCUACAUGAUCGGACCCUUCCUUCCCUAGGAGAGGAUAAAAAAUCAUGGCCCUUCAUCCAUUCUCUAGAGUCAACUUAUACAUUAGCCAUGCGUUACCGACUUAGAUUGGAAUCAAUUAUCACAUGUGCUUACCUCUCACACAAGAUACCAUUUCCAUCAACCCAAAGUCCAAUGCCAAAUGGGAAGGAAAAAUCUAGGUUAAUAUGCAAUUUUAGUGUUGGCCGGAGCAUCAUUGCAUGAAACUUUCGCCUUCAGGGUAGUUGUUUUCACAUGAAUCAUCUAGAGUUUUCACUGCCCGUCUUGGGCCAAAAUCAAAUGCAGACACUUCGACUCUUUCUCUGGUGCUCUUUGGUUCCACUGCGAGUGCCUGGUCAAAUGUGUUGGAGGCUCAAGUGUCCCUUGUUCCUGGCUAGUGUCUGGGUUGCGACGUGAUGCUAGAGGCAAACACUCUCGCCUUCUAUCUAUCUUCUCUCGGGGGAUCUGGAGUCUCCGAGUAAUUCAAGAAGGAUCCUUCCGGCCUAACUCUCAGACCCAUAGCUACCUUGCUUGACUGGGUUUGAAUCAUCCGUAGGUGCCAACUUGGAGCCUGUGUAUGUGUAAUUUCUGCACAAAACAACUAGUUUUUUUCCUCACUACAUAUACGCCACAAUAACCCUUCGGGGUAGGUUGACCACUCCAUUCCAUACAUUUUAGAUCCAUGGUUGAACUCCCUACCCUCUCAACUCUAAUUUUUUAUUCCUUGAGAUAUUUGUGCUGGAUUUGGGAGGAGUUAACACUAAAAUAGAUAUGCGCCCUUCCUCUCUCACUAACCAUUUUCUUGAUUUGCAAAAUUCCAAGAUUAUUACUUUGAUCUAGUUCCUCUUGGAGGUUGAAUAGUCCCAAGCGGUAAGAAUCAUCAGUGAGGAAUCAAUUUAUGAUUUACCCUGCUGCUUGUAAAGUAUUGAGGCCACCUAAAGGUCUACCACAAAUGAUUUAGCAUCGUUGUUAUGGUGGUGGCUCAAAGAUAGUAAGAUGCUAUCGAGUUUUCUUGAAUUUAAUGGAAAAUAGAAAGAUUUGAUGAUGAUCAAUCAUUCGGUUAAGGUGGAUCUCAACCAAUCAAUUUCUACUAUAUACGUACAACAUUACAAUGGUUAAACUAAUUAUUAGAAAUGCAGGAUAACCAAUAUGAAAUGCUAGAAAAACUAACGCGCUGAAAGGAUUCCCUCAGCGCCGAGGAGCCUUGGUGGCAUCGAGAAACUUUGGUGUCCUGACACCUAUCCAAACGGUGAUUAGCUCCCCUAUAAGGAAGUGAACAUCGGAAUACUUCUUUAUCUCCAUGUGUCUUCAGUUACUUCUUAUCUAAUCUUGUUUACUUUGGUCCCUUGACCUUGCAAGUAUCAUAUAGGUUGUGCUCACCUUAGUUUUAUUAGGCAAACUUUAUAUUUUGCAAUGACUAUUCUAAAGGAAAGAGAGCUAUAUUUUGUAGACACCUAUUCACCCCCCAAUUGCAUCCUACACUAAAAUUUACAUCUAAAAUCAUGAUUUGGUCUGGUUCAACAUGCUAAUUCUUUGGAUUUUGAAGUUUUACAUAUUAGCAUGACAUGAUAACACUUUGGAUGUAGUUCAACAUGUCUUUUUUCCAUCUAUGGUUGAACCAAAGGAAACCUCCUUCUCAAAAAAAGGUUGAACCACCACUUGACAAAGUGUGGUUGAGUUGUAGGCAUAGUUUAAAAAUGGAACGAACUGUCCGUUUGAAUGGAAAAGACUAAAACCGGCGGGCCCGUCUGUUCAUUAUGUUUCACAGACCGUCCCACCAUUAGAUGGGUGAAACCAGCUGAACCUCCCAGUUUUCUG